GCAUGAUCAAGCCGCCGGUGCCAUAGAGAUCCUUGUUAGGGAUUUGAAAGUUUUCCCCAUUCACAAUGCUGAUGUGUAUAUAUAAAGAAAUGACUCAGCUCCUGACACUAGACAAUAUCCGUGAGCAUGAUCAACUUCGUGGCUAUAGAGAUGCAAACCAUGCAAGAUCAGCAGUGCUGAAUGAGAUCUACAGGCUUAUUGAAGCAAAUUCUCUUUUCAAUGACAGACUGAAUUUCCCUGACCUAGAAGCUUCGAGGUUAAAGACAAUCAUGAACCAAUGCCUGAAUUGGCAGCAUUUCCAUUGCCAAAAUCCAGCUGAUAUUCCAGAUUUAAGAAGCUCAUUCAUGGAUCAUAAAUGUAACAAACCCGAUUCGUCUCAGCAACCAGCCACAAACAAUCAGUUGAUAGGAUCCACAACAAGAUCUAAAGGACUUUUCCAACUGGGUUCAAAUGGGGCUUUUCAAUCUGUACCCUCAUCAAUUCCACCCCAAGUGCGAGUUCCACCACUUAUGCCAAUUUUAUGAUCAGGACCAGUUCAACCUUUCAGCUCAGGAUGAGAAAUCUAUCAAUCAUACAUCAUGCGACAAACCAAGUGGAGAUGAUCUUGAAGGGUCCCGGGUGUUGUAAUGAUAUGUCCAGAUCUAUGCCUUCUGGCUUUUCAGCGAAGGACCUAUUCCUGGACCAAGCAAAAGUCUGGCGUCCAACAGAGUCCAUGACUUGCUCAAGACUGUUGGGCGGGUUUUGCAUCAAGGAUCACUUCCAGUGAGCAUGGAUUUUCCACCCUCCAACAUUCUCUACUGCUAGUUGGAACUGAUAUCAGGGAGAUAGCCCUGUGGGAGGUUAGUUCCAAGCAAAAGGUAGCUUCAAGGGCUUUUGGCCUUUGGGAUAUGAGAGGAACAUCAAUGAAAUUAAAGGUAUGUCCCCUUCUCAAUAAAGUUGGAACCAAGAUAACAAUUUAAUAUAGCCAGAAUGAUCUGAACUCUAUACUGAUUUAUCUGGAUGAAUUUC